AGCGAACGCUGGCGGCAGGCCUAACACAUGCAAGUCGAACGAAGCCUUCGGGCUUAGUGGCGGACGGUUGAGUAACACGUGGGAACGUACCUUUUGGUUCGGAACAACUCAGGGAAACUUGAGCUAAUACCGGAUGAGCCCUUAGGGGGAAAGAUUUAUCGCCGAAAGAGCGGGCCGCGUUAGAUUAGCUAGUUGGUGAGGUAAAGGCUCACCAAGGCAACGAUCUAUAGCUGGUCUGAGAGGAUGAUCAGCCACACCGGGACCGCGAUACGGCCCAGGGUCGUACGGGAUGACGAAGUGGGAAAUCUUGCGCAAUGGGCGAAAGCCUGACGCAGACAUGCCGCGUGAAUGAUGAAGGUCUUAGGGUUGUAAAAUUCUUUUACCAGUGACGAUAAUGACGGUACCUGGAGAAAAAGCCCCGGCUAACUUCGUGCCAGCCGCCGCAGUAAUAG
rnacentral:rRNA from 1 species